rnacentral:rRNA from 1 species
GAUGAACGCUGGCGGCGCGCCUAACACAUGCAAGUCGAACGGCACCCCUCUCCGGAGGGAAGCGAGUGGCGAACGGCUGAGUAACACGUGGAGAACCUGCCCCCUCCCCCGGGAUAGCCGCCCGAAAGGACGGGUAAUACCGGAUACCCCCGGGCGCCGCAUGGCGCCCGGGCUAAAGCCCCGACGGGAGGGGAUGGCUCCGCGGCCCAUCAGGUAGACGGCGGGGUGACGGCCCACCGUGCCGACAACGGGUAGCCGGGUUGAGAGACCGACCGGCCAGAUUGGGACUGAGACACGGCCCAGACUCCUACGGGAGGCAGCAGUGGGGAAUCUUGCGCAAUGGGGGGAACCCUGACGCAGCGACGCCGCGUGCGGGACGGAGGCCUUCGGGUCGUAAACCGCUUUCAGCAGGGAAGAGUCAAGACUGUACCUGCAGAAGAAGC